rnacentral:rRNA from 1 species
UACGUAGGCAGCGAGCGUUGUUCGGAGUUACUGGGCGUAAAGGGUGCGUAGGCGGUUGUUUAAGUUUGGUGUGAAAUCUCCCGGCUCAACUGGGAGGUGCGCCGAAUACUGAAUGACUAGAGUGCGGGAGAGGAGAGUGGAAUUCCUGGUGCAGCGGUGAAAUGCGUAGAUAUCAGGAGGAACACCGGUGGUGUAGACGGCUCUCUGGACCGUAACUGACGCUGAGACACGAAAGCGUGGGUAGCAAACAGG